AGAACCGAAAAAUGAAGUUACGGAGUUGGGCCAAGUGGCGGCGGAAUGACCGUGGAGCUCGAGGACGGCUGGAACUUUGCCCCUGCUUUCCAAAAGUCCAACUACCCCGAGGCGCUGGCAAGAAAACCAGACUCUCAGCAACCACGGUCCGGGUGGGCACAGUAAACAGUUUGCUACCACAACACCCAGGAUGUGGGAGCGUUUCCUGUCCUGCGCUGGGCACAGACCGGGGGUCACGGUUACGCUCACUGACUCACUCAUUCAUCUUUGAAGAAUGGCUCCACUACUGGUAUCCUUUCAGGAAGAAACGCUUCUGGCAGAGUGGCAUCGGGGCUGGCUCCUUUGCAUCAAUCACCAUCUUUUGUAUUUAACCAUGAAAAUAUUCUAUAUCCUUUGCGCUUGCGCAGUUGUGUCCGCCGCCCUAAACCCCGGUGUUACCAAAGAACAGCUGCACGACUGUUGCAAUCAGUCCAAUCUUCAUAACUGCUGACGUCGAGACAGUCCGGAUUUCUCCUCCCAUUAAAAGUUUCUUCCCAAGUUUCUAAAGACUCAAAGUGCUACUCGUAGUUCCUUUUUCUUUAAAUUCAGAACUUCUGAAUGUUUCAAUUAAUUCAAGUUCCAACACAGAGAAAAUAGUAAAGAA